rnacentral:rRNA from 1 species
AGAGUUUGAUCCUGGCUCAGGAUGAACGCUGGCGGCGUGCCUAACACAUGCAAGUGAGCGAUUUACUUCGGUAAAGAGCGGCGGACGGGUGAGUAACGCGUGGGUAACCUGCCCUGUACACACGGAUAACAUACCGAAAGGUAUGCUAAUACGAGAUAAUAUGCUUUUAUCGCAUGGUAGAAGUAUCAAAGCUUUUGCGGUACAGGAUGGACCCGCGUCUGAUUAGCUAGUUGGUAAGGUAACGGCUUACCAAGGCGACGAUCAGUAGCCGACCUGAGAGGGUGAUCGGCCACAUUGGAACUGAGACACGGUCCAAACUCCUACGGGAGGCAGCAGUGGGGAAUAUUGCACAAUGGGCGAAAGCCUGAUGCAGCAACGCCGCGUGAGCGAUGAAGGCCUUCGGGUCGUAAAGCUCUGUCCUCAAGGAAGAUAAUGACGGUACUUGAGGAGGAAGCCCCGGCUAACUACGUGCCAGCAGCCGCGGUAAUACGUAGGGGGCUAGCGUUAUCCGGAAUUACUGGGCGUAAAGGGUGCGUAGGUGGUUUCUUAAGUCAGAGGUGAAAGGCUACGGCUCAACCGUAGUAAGCCUUUGAAACUGGGAAACUUGAGUGCAGGAGAGGAGAGUGGAAUUCCUAGUGUAGCGGUGAAAUGCGUAGAUAUUAGGAGGAACACCAGUUGCGAAGGCGGCUCUCUGGACUGUAACUGACACUGAGGCACGAAAGCGUGGGGAGCAAACAGGAUUAGAUACCCUGGUAGUCCACGCCGUAAACGAUGAGUACUAGCUGUCGGAGGUUACCCCCUUCGGUGGCGCAGCUAACGCAUUAAGUACUCCGCCUGGGAAGUACGCUCGCAAGAGUGAAACUCAAAGGAAUUGACGG